AGCAGCCGCGGUAAUUCCAGCUCCAAUAGCGUAUAUUAAAGUUGUUGCAGUUAAAAAGCUCGUAGUUGAAUUUCGGGAUCAGUACGAUGGUCGUGCCUCUGGUACGUACUGUUGUGACUGGUUCCUCCCUUCUGAAGAACUGUCAUGUCAUUAAUUUGGUGUGGCGGGGAAUCAGGACUGUUACUUUGAAAAAAUUGAGUGUUUAAAGCAGGCUCGCGCUUGAAUACAUUAGCAUGGAAUAAUGAAAUAGGACGUUUGAUCCUAUUUUGUUGGUUUCUAGGAUUGACGUAAUGAUUAAUAGGGAUAGUUGGGGGCAUUAGUAUUCAAUUGUCAGAGGUGAAAUUCUUGGAUUUAUUGAAGACUAACUACUGCGAAAGCAUUUGCCAAGGAUGUUUUCAUUAAUCAAGAACGAAAGUUAGGGGAUCGAAGACGAUCAGAUACGUCGUAGUCUUAACCAUAAACUAUGCCGACUAGGGAUCGGAUGAUGUUAAUUUUUUAAUGACUCAUUCGGUCG
rnacentral:rRNA from 1 species